GGAUUCCCCUAGUAACUGCGAGUGAAGCGGGAAAAGCUCAAAUUUGAAAUCUGGCCGUCUUUGAUUGCCCGAGUUGUAAACUAGAGAAGUGUACCCGCGUUGGACCGUGUACAAGUCUCCUGGAAUGGAGCGUCAUAGAGGGUGAGAAUCCCGUCUUUGACACGGACUGCCAAGGCUUUGUGGUGCGCUCUCAAAGAGUCGAGUUGUUUGGGAAUGCAGCUCAAAAUGGGUGGUAAAUGCCAUCUAAAGCUAAAUACAGGCGAGAGACCGAUAGCGAACAAGUACCGUGAGGGAAAGAUGAAAAGAACUUUGGAAAGAGAGUUAAACAGUACGUGAAAUUGCUGAAAGGGAAACGCUUGAAGUCAGUCACGUUGGCUAGGAAUCAACCUUGCUUUUGCUGGGUGUACUUUCUGGUUUACGGGUCAGCAUCAGUUUUGACCAGUGGAUAAAGGCAUGAGAAAUGUGGCUUCUUUGGAAGUGUUAUAGUCUUGUGUUGUAUACAUUGGUUGGGACUGAGGAACUCAGCACGCCGCAAGGCCGGGGUUCGCCCACGUUCGUGCUUAGGAUGCUGGCAUAAUGGCUUUAAUCGACCCGUCUUGAAACACGGACCAAGGAGUCUAACAUGCCUGCGAGUGUUUGGGUGGAAAACCCGAGCGCGUAAUGAAAGUGAAAGUUGAGAUCCCUGUCGUGGGGAGCAUCGACGCCCUGACCAGACCUUUUGUGACGGAUCAGCGGUAGAGCAUGUAUGUUGGGACCCGAAAGAUGGUGAACUAUGCCUGAAUAGGGUGAAGCCAGAGGAAACUCUGGUGGAGGCUCGUAGCGAUUCUGACGUGCAAAUCGAUCGUCAAAUUUGGGUAUAGGGGCGAAAGACUAAUCGAACCAU
rnacentral:rRNA from 1 species